rnacentral:tRNA from 1 species
ACGAAAGAUUGACGAUUGGUAAGAAUCCACAACAAGUUGUUCUUCAUAGAUGUAUCUGAGGGUCUGUAGCUCAGUUGGUUAGAGCACACGCUUGAUAAGCGUGGGGUCACAAGUUCAAGUCUUGUCAGACCCACCAUGACUUUGACUGGUUGAAGUUAUAGAAAAGAAGAUACAUAACUGAUGAUGUAAGCUGGGGACUUAGCUUAGUUGGUAGAGCGCCUGCUUUGCACGCAGGAGGUCAGGAGUUCGACUCUCCUAGUCUCCACCAGAACUUAAGAGAAGUUCGGAUUACAGAAAUUAGUAAAUAAAGAUUUAAAUCUUGGUUUAUUAACUUCUGUGAUUUAAGUAUCACGGUAUUAAGCAUGACCUGACGAAGGCAUGUUUAUUCAUUAACAGAUUGGCAAAAUUGAGUCUGAAAUAAAUUGUUCACUCAAUAAUGAAGAGAGAGGAAGUAAUUCUGAUCUUGGAAUUAAUUGAGAACUAGCAAAUUAACUGAAUCAAGCGUUUUGGUAUAUGAAUUAGAUUGAAGCUGUACAGUGUUUAAAUACACAGUACUUCAAACUGUAAGAGAUUGAUGAGAAAUCAUUGAUCAUGUCUUAUUACUCCUUGUAGGUAAUAACGACUGUUUGGGGUUGUAU